rnacentral:rRNA from 1 species
CCUACGGGGGGCAGCAGUGAGGAAUAUUGGGCAAUGGACGAGAGUCUGAACCAGCCACGUAGCGUGAAGGAUGACUGCCCUAUGGGUUGUAAACUUCUUUUAUAAAGGAAUAAAACGAGGCACGUGUGCCUUUUUGCAUGUACCUUAUGAAUAAGGAUCGGCUAACUCCGUGCCAGCAGCCGCGGUAAUACGGAGGGUCCGAGCGUUAUCCGGAUUUUUUGGGUUUAAAGGGUGCGUAGAUGGGUUGUUAAGUCAGUUGUGAAAGUUUGCGGCUCAACCGUAGAAUUGCAGUUGAUACUGGCAGUCUUGAGUACAGGUGAGGUAGGCGGAAUUCGUGGUGUAGCGGUGAAAUGCAUAGAUAUCACGAAGAACCCCGAUUGCGAAGGCAGCAUACUAAACUGUAACUGACAUUGAUGCACGAAAGUGUGGGUAUCAAACAGGACUAGAUACCCCUGUAGUC